UAUCCAACCUGCCGAUAACUCGGGGAUAGCCUUUCGAAAGAAAGAUUAAUAUCGGAUAGUAUAUGAAUAUCGCAUGAUAUUUUUAUUAAAGAAUUUCGGUUAUCGAUGGGGAUGCGUUCCAUUAGUUUGUUGGCGGGGUAACGGCCCACCAAGACUACGAUGGAUAGGGGUUCUGAGAGGAAGGUCCCCCACAUUGGAACUGAGACACGGUCCAAACUCCUACGGGAGGCAGCAGUGAGGAAUAUUGGUCAAUGGACGAGAGUCUGAACCAGCCAAGUAGCGUGAAGGAUGACUGCCCUAUGGGUUGUAAACUUCUUUUAUAUGGGAAUAAAGUAUUCCACGUGUGGAAUUUUGUAUGUACCAUAUGAAUAAGGAUCGGCUAACUCCGUGCCAGCAGCCGCGGUAAUACGGAGGAUCCGAGCGUUAUCCGGAUUUAUUGGGUUUAAAGGGAGCGUAGGUGGAUUGUUAAGUCAGUUGUGAAAGUUGCGGCUCAACCGUAAAAUUGCAGUUGAAACUGGGAGUCUUGAGUACAGUAGAGGUGG
rnacentral:rRNA from 1 species